CACAGAGGGGCCGUGGGUUAGCCAGUUGGAGGGGAGGCUUAUAAGCUAAAAAGAUGUAGAGGAGCGCCUCUCCCGGGGAACGGAAGCGGAAACCGGGCUCCUGCCGUCCUCUCUGUGUCUCCCACCUCUAUAGUCUUCCUCGCCCAUUUCUCACCAGAGGACUUGGAAGGAGGCGGGGUGGACAAUUGUCUCUAGAGUGACCAUCCGAACGCGACAUGGACGAAGGCCGAGGACCUGCCUUGAGAGCCUCUGAACUGCUUGUUGGCUUGAGAAGCUUGCUGCUGAUACUGCUGCUGCGGAAACUGCCUCUGCCACUGGCACUUUUGAAACUUUGGUUGCUGGUGGAUUGUAUAUGAUUUUUUUACUUUCAUGUAGGCUCUUGAGAGAUUCAUCAGUUUUCUCAUUAAACAAGCCCUUGGCAUCAAACGCUUGUUCUUCGAUCUGCUUCUUGACAUCCUCCACGAUACC